UACGGCCAUAUCACAAUAAAAUACCGGUUCCCAUACAAUCACGGAAGUUGAGUAACUUCGAGGCUGGUCUGUACAUUGAUGGGUGGCCGCUUGGGAAUAGCAUGUUCUGUAA